rnacentral:lncRNA from 1 species
CUGGCCCAGGCCACACCUCCCAUUUUGUACAGCAGGAAGUUGAGGUUCAGAGGUUCAGUGAGGCUUAGAGGCUGGGGUACUCAAGACUCCCAGACCCCUGCUCCUUCAGAAGCACAGUCCCUCAGCCACUGCUUUGGGUUCACAUUUGAUGUGAGUCAAAGGGAUCCCUUGCUAUGUCUGUGUCCCUGACCCAGCAUCAAACACUAAAGUAUGUGAGAUGGUCUGAUUCAAUCACCAAAUGUCAAAUAAUCUGAUGGGUGAGGAAUUUGACUGAAAAAAAAAGAGAUGAAAUACAUCCUUGAGUCCGCGACACCUAAUAGAGAAGUAAUUGAAAUAGAAAAUGAGAUUCAGGACACGCACACACACACACAAGCUCUUUGUGACUGUGGUAAAGCCUUUUUAAGUCCCUGGGACUCAGAUUCCUCCUCUGUAACACAGGGUACUGCCCACUCUCAUGGGGGAGUGGAAUGUUAACUCAGGCCUCCCACGAGUGCUGCCUGCUGGGAAGGAAUUGCAGCGGGCCCUGAAAGAAGGGGAGGUGUGGGCAUUCAAGAGAAUUGGGCCCAGGAAUGAAAGUGCACAAGGGGGUGAGGGAAGGGCAGAAUGGAAGGGUCUCUUGGGGCCACCCCCAUGACCACUGAGAAGACUCCAUCCCCUAUCCUCCCAACUCCAAAGCCCCCAGGACCAGGAAUGGUUACAAAAAGGAGGCAAGCUCUGCUGGCCAGCGGAGAACAGAAGGCUGAAAGGGAAGGCCAAAAGGAGGGGAAAAGUUUGUCAUCUGUGGCUGCCUGACCGGGCUGUUCGCCAUACCCAUCUCUUCAUCUGCCUGGACUACAUUUCCCAGCCUCCCUUGCAGUUCGGUGCGGCCCACGCCUGGGUUCUAGCAAACAGAAGGUGGGUGGAAGCCAAGUACAGUACUUCCAGCCCUGGCUCCUACAAACCUUCCCAAACGAUGCUCCAAGCUCUUUCUCCUCCCCUCAGCUUGAUGCACAGGGACCUCAUGGAAGCCGCCUGGUGGAGACAGUGGAGCCACAAGAUGGAAUCUGCACACCACAGUCAUGGCUUAGAGGAGGGCAACCUUCCAUAAGGAACAUCCACUCUGGGCUUUGAGUGAGAAAUAAACUUUUGUGUUCUUGAG